AUAUUUUUAUGCAAGAAGAUCAUGCAUUGAACCCAAGAUACUAAUGUUGAAGAAAUUUUCUUAACUAAAUCUGAUAAUUCCUUAUGGAAAUACCUGUUAAUGUCAGGAAAACAAUAUGAUUCUUCCAAGCUCAAGGCUUUUCUCUUCAACAAUCUCUACAUAUGUAUGGAUAAAAUGUUAAGAAUACUGGUACAUGUCUGAUUUGUUGAGGAAAACACUUUUCCAUAUUAGCUAGUUCAUUUCUCGCCUUUCAUCGAAGAAUGAAUUAUCAUCAUUCUGUAUUUUAUUUGUUUAUAUGUAAAUAUUGAAUGUUCAUUACUAAGUGUUAAUUGUGUAUUAAUCAAGUCAAUAAAAAUGAUGUACAUUU
rnacentral:misc_RNA from 1 species